AUUGAACGCUGGCGGCAAGCCUAACACAUGCAAGUCGAACGAGUGGCGGACGGGUGAGUAAUGUCUGGGAAACUGCCUGAUGGAGGGGGAUAACUACUGGAAACGGUAGCUAAUACCGCAUACCAUCGGAUGUGCCCAGAUGGGAUUAGCUAGUAGGUGGGGUAAAGGCUCACCUAGGCGACGAUCCCUAGCUGGUCUGAGAGGAUGACCAGGCGCAACGGAACUGAGGCACGGUCCAAACUCCUGCGGGAGGCGGCAGUGGGGAAUAUUGCAACAUGUGCUCGAGCCUGGUGGAACCAUGCCGCGUGUAUGAAGAAGGCCUUUGGGGUGUGAAAUACUUUCCGCGGGGAAGCGUUACCCGCAGGAGGAACCCCGGCUAACUCCGUGCCAGCAGCCGCGGUAAUAC
rnacentral:rRNA from 1 species